GCACCUGCAAUAUGGCGGCGUCCUGCGGCUCCUCGCAGCUCCCGGCCGCCGAGCCGCCGCUCAAGAUCCCCAAGAUGGAGGUGCUCUCGCCGGGUUCGCCGGGCGCGCUGAGCGACGGCAACCGCAGCCUGUCGGACCCGUCCACGCCCAGCGGCGCCUCCCCGCUCGGCGCGGGGCCGGCGGCCGGCGGGGCCGGGCUGGGGGGCGGCGGAGCCGCGGGCCGCGGCGGGGCCUCGCCCUCCGUUUCCUUCUCGCCGGGCGGCGCCGCCGCCGCUGCCGCCGCCGCCGCGUGCCGCGGGAUGUCCUGGACGCCGGCCGAGACCAACGCGCUGAUUGCCGUCUGGGGCAACGAGCGGCUGGUGGAGGCGCGGUACCAGCAGCUGGAGGGCGCCGGCACCGUCUUCGGCAGCAAAGCCCCCGGGCCCGCCAUGUACGAGCGCGUUUCCCGCGCCCUGGCCGAGCUGGGCUACGAGCGCACCCCCUCCCAGUGCCGAGAGCGCAUCAAGGUCAAAACCAUUCCCCUCAUCAUCUCCCUGAUCAAGAGCCACUCCCCAGCUUUCCUGGAGUCCCUUUCCAUAUCGGAAGGCUGCUCUAAGGUCUCCCUGGAGUCUUCUCUUCUCCAGGCUGAACGACCCCAACUCUCUCAGCCUGUCCUCCUAUGGGAGGUGCUCCGGCUCUUGGAUCAUCCUUGUGGUCUCCUCUGGAUUUGCUCCAACACCUCAUGUCCUUCUUAUGUUCGGGAUUCCAGAACUGGACACAGGACUCCAGGUUAGAUCUCACCAGAACAGAGGGGCAGAAUCCCCUCCUGUGCCUUGCUGGUCCCACUGCUUUGGAUGCUACGCAGGACAUGGUUGGUUUCUGGGCUGCGAGCCCACUUUGCUGGCUCAUGUGGAGCUUUUCCUCUCUCAGCAGCCCAAUUCCUUCUCCUCAGGUCUGCUCCUAAUCCAUCCUCCUCCCAGGCUGUAGUUGUCCAAAGGGACCUCUGAUUCCUGGCUCAAUCAGAUGAUCCCCUUGUCUGUGUUGACCCUCACGACCCUUCUCCCCUUGGGACAUUCCUAUUGCUUUCCUUGUUUUGAACCAGAGGGCUUUGGGCCAGAGCCAGAACCUUUAGGAAGCCCCUGUGCUUCAGGAUACAAUGAGGACUUUGCUCCUUUGUGCAAAGCACAGUUUAUUUUGACCAUCAACGUGUUCCCCAGUGUUGUGAUCUGGCAGAUGUGCAACCAGCAGCGGAGCUGGAGCCCAUGAAGGUUGGUGGGUGGCAGCUCCUGCAGUGCAUGCCAAGUUCUAAGGGUGGCUUUGCACUGGGCUGCUCGACUUCCACAGAGGAGCGUUAUGACUUGGUGUCUCGUGUUGGAGACAUGUUGAAGCUGUCAGCUGCCUUUCUACGGUGGUGCAUGGCUCUCUUGAGAAUUUAAGGUGCUCUUUCUUCUCCUUUUAUUCUGGGUAGACCACAGAAACAGGGCUUCUUGUGGUGAUAUCCUGUGUAAGUCUUGCGUUUUUCUGCUUCGCCCACAUCUUUUAACCUAAAAGUUCAUGAUCUGGCAAGUUGAGCAGAGCUGUCAGGCCCCUGUAGACAGUUCUCUUUCCUUGAGCUCCCACCAGACAGCUUGGGAAUGAAGAUUUCGAGAGCUUUCACUGUGCUGAUCAUCCCUGCAUACCCUACAACUGCUCCAAGCUUCAAACCUGUUUCUUUUCUUCCGGUGUAGUUUCAUCUACUGUUGCUCGUGAGCAUCUGGCAGGAUGAGGGAGGGAGCUAUUUGUUUCUGCCGUUCUUAAUUCGAGAUGUAAAGCCAAGAGCUUCUCUCUCCCAUUAAGUAAAAGCACAUCUCUGGAGCUGGAUAUUGUGCUCAGUGGUGCUCUGUGCCAUCGGGACCCUUCUGGGCCAGCUGCUAUCACUUAAUCACCUUAAAUAGAUGAAUGUGGGCAAGAGUGUAGGCUGCUGGACGGCUCUGUGAAGCCCACAGUGUCUCGCUGAGUCAGUAUCUCGGGGAUCUGGAGUUUCUUGCGUUAGACUAUCUCCGGGGUUACACACAAAGCUGGCUGCAAUGUGGUUCUCCCACAUCUUAUUUUUGCUGGGCCUACAGCCUUCCUCAGAGUCGCUUCCUAAGGCUCCUCCGAGCAGUUUCCGAUUGUCCUGCUGCUGUCCCUGCAGAGUCAUCGCUUCUCCUGUGGCUCCAGUUGUAGAGAAGGUGGGAGCUUGGACUUGACAAAUGAUGAGAAAAUCCACAUUGAGCUUUGUGAACAUUGCCUCCUUUGGAUUUCAUCGUUACAAAUAUGGGGAUAAUCUGCCUUGGUGUUGCAGAGCAGUAAGCAAAAGCCUUGGUCUCUUCAGUCUGGCAGUCACUGCUCAGUUAUCAGGGCUGUUUUCAGUUACUUGUCCAAAAUUCACUGGUUUCUUGUCCUUUGUAUCAAUAUCUGUGUGUGCACUUUAGGAACCACGGCGCAGGACUUGGGCUGGACACCAGGAGAAAUAGAGGAUCUGCGUAAGAAAAACCUCGGUCUUAAAUCCUGGUGAUCAGAAUAACCUGCUGGGAGAAAGGUGCCUGAACCACUGAGGGCUAUGAGUGGUCCAGGGGAGUGUUCCUGAAGUCCCAGCAAUUAUUUAGGUCUUGCCAGGGUCUCUAGGAAGUGGGCAGAGGAAGAGGCCACCUCACCUCGGCCACACAGAAGCCUGUGGGUAGUCUAUGAAAGGGAGAUGACCUGUUACUGGGAGGUGGAUAUUGCUUAGAGCAGUGGCAGAGACUGCCUUUUGGAGACACUGAGGGAUGCCUCUGUGAAGACAGAAUUAGUGGGAAUCUUGAUUCUCCAGGAAACAAGACUGGAACCAUCAGCUGCUUGGCUGCAGGCCUGCUGGUGCUUUUGAAAGCUCCAAAAUUGAGAUUACUCACUCAGUUUUAGGUUAUCUGCCACCAGAAAGGGAGGUAAAAGCUGGCUCACUCUGCCAGGUCCAGAACCAUCUGAGCAGUAUCCUCAGAAGUUGUUUUGACUUGCAAUGGGAGAAGUUUUCAUUAAUUUUUGCCCCCUUUCUCUCUUGCUUCCUUUCAUCCCCGUACCAGUCUCCAUUGACUUGAUGCUAAAUGAUUUUCAUUGUAAAAUAGGCUAGUUUGCAGCGUGAUGAAAUCAUUAAUUGCUGCUGGGCUACAAUGCGGUGUGAGGUAGGCAAUGACUCUAUCUGCAGGGAGAGGAGUGUGAAGUACAUGCUUAAAACGGAGCAAGCGGCUGUGGCUGUGGAUGCUGGGUGUUCCCAAGAGGGCUUGGCCAAGAGAAUUGGUGUGGUUUGGGUGACUGCGCUGGUUUGUUUUGCUCAAAGGCUACUAACAAAUUCAGCUCGAGGCUCUGCCUCUGCGGUGAACUCCAAAGGAUGAGCUGGGAUUUGGAAAACAUCUCCAAAAAUCUGACUUGGGUUGAAUUUAGAAAGAAUCUGGGAGUGAACCAAGCCUUUGCCCAUGUCACUUGGUGAGAUUGGAGCUGAAAGGAGAGAAAUUGGCAUGAGAAAGCCAAAUUUUAACAACCAAAUUUAUCCAAACCACAGCUCUAGGGAACCCAGUUUGUAUCAGGUGAGCACUGUCUGGUUUCUUGGCCGGGCCCUUUGUUCCAGAUUACUGUAGUUGGUUGUUUUCUACUCCGCUUGCAGAUGGAAACUUCACGUGUGCUGGUGUCCAUCCAGAGAGGAUCUGCCUGUUUAUCCUGAGAGGCAGCGAAGGCAGAACUGGGCAGGGUUCCAUCUUAAACCUCUGGAUGACGCCAGUGCCAAUUGCUUCUUGUCUGUUUGUAUGGGGGGUUCUUUAUUUUGUGUUCUUUUUGUGUGUGUAGUUUUUGUUUUUUUUUUUUUUGAAACAGCAGGGUAAAACUAACUUGCUGCUUAGCAGUUUUGCUUCUGCCCCCAGGGCUCUGAAUGUCACGAGGAAACUGGUUAGAAAUGUGUUCCUUGCCUGCUGAUGCUGUUUACCCAGUGUGUGAGGAGCAUUAGGUAGGUUUGAGCUUUCUGGAGAUGUAAAGAUUUCUUUUGGGGGAAAGAAUGAAGCGAUUUUUGCAGUGAUGUGGUUUGAAAAUCCGUAACAAGGCUCCUCCAGAAAGCAAGGUGGCAGGAUCAGUGUUUCCCAAGUCAGUGCCUCUCUUGACCACCAGAGACAGAUUUGCCAUUCAUAGAAUCACUUGGUUGGAAAAGACCUUUGAGAUCAUGGAGUCCAGCUGUCCCUUUCCGCUACUGAACCAGAUCCCUGGACACCUCAUCUUCAUUUGAGCUGGAACCUGAGCAAUCUAAUAAUUUAAUAUGAAAACAAUAUUUUCUAGCACUCUCCCAAUCCAAAACCAUUCAAGAUCCAGCAAACCUGGGGCACAUCAUGACCUUUCAAAAGCACAGUGGUGGUAGAAUUAAAACCUCAUUGAGGGAUGCACGUAAAGGUUUUUCCCCCUACCCCCCCGCCCCCCAACCAGACGUGUGUUGCUUUGGUUUAGGGGUAAACGCGGACAGAAAUUGUAGGCCUAUAUGGCUCUGUCCCACUGUGCACAGCAGUGGUGAGGCACUGGUUCGGUGCGGGAUGUGGAGGGAUCACUACGAGCAGACCAGGUUUUUGCAUCUGUCUUUGGCCUCAGCCCUGUUUGUAAAGGCUUGUCAGGCAGAGCCAUCCUCGCAUUGUUUCUUGCUUAAUGCAUGAUGUCGAAGUCCGGAAACUGGGAGCAUUAUUGAUUUGACCUCUUUUAAAUUUCAGCAGCUUCACAAGAGACAGAGUUAGUCAGGAAUGCAAAAUAUACCCUUCGCAGGUGCUACAGCCGCGUGAAGGAGCAUGGUGUUGGGAAGAGGAAAAGCAGCUACACGUUUGAGCAGCUCGAGCAGGUGUUUGGGCAGGGAGGCUGGGAC